UACGUAGGGGGCUAGCGUUGUCCGGAAUCAUUGGGCGUAAAGCGCGUGUAGGCGGUCCGGUAAGUCCGCUGUGAAAGUCGAGGGCUCAACCCUCGAAUGCCGGUGGAUACUGUCGGGCUUGAGUACGGGAGAGGCGAGUGGAAUUCCCAGUGUAGCGGUGAAAUGCGUAGAUAUUGGGAGGAACACCGGUGGCGAAGGCGGCCCUCUGGACCGAAACUGACACUGAAGCGCGAAAGCUAGGGGAGCAAACGGG
rnacentral:rRNA from 1 species